GAUGAACGCUGGCGGCGUGCCUAAUACAUGCAAGUCGAGCGAACGGACGAGAAGCUUGCUUCUCUGAUGUUAGCGACGGACGGGUGAGUAACACGUGGAUAACCUCCUUAUAAGACUGGAAUAACUUCGGGAAACCGGAGUUAUUACCGGAUACUUUUUUGAACCGCAUGGUUCAAAAGUGAAGGACGGUUUUGCUGUCACUUAUAGAUGGAUCCGCGUUGCAUUAGCUAGUUGGUAAGGUAACGGCUUACCAAGGCAACGAUGCAUGGACGACCUGAGAGGGUGGUCGGCCACACUGGAACUGAGACACGGUCCAGACUCCUACGGGAGGCAGCAGUAGGGAGUCUUCCGCAAUGGGCGAAAGCCUGACGGAGCAACGCCGCGUGAGUGAUGAAGGUCUUCGGAUCGUAAAACUCUGUUAUUAGGGAAGAACAUAUGUGUAAGUAACUGUGCACAUCUUGACGGUACCUAAUCAGAAAGCCACGGCUAACUACGUG
rnacentral:rRNA from 1 species